rnacentral:ribozyme from 12 species
UUUUUUUUUUUUUUUUUUUUUUUUUUUUUGAAUUCAAACAUGAACAAGCUAUCGCAUUAGACAUAUUACUA